rnacentral:lncRNA from 1 species
UUAUUUCGAAUCGUGCCAAUUUGCUGCAAAAUUGCAACCCCACAUGAUUAUGAAUGGUCAAUUUAAUUACGUAUGUAAUACUCUAUUUUGGCCCGGGUCAAAAGAGCCCAAAUUACAAACGGGCCUAUAUGGCCCAAAAUGAAAUAAAACAAAGGCCCAAAUUACAGUGGCCCAAAAUCAUCAGAAACCCUAGGGUUUCUAAUCUUUAGCCGUCGCAGCUAAGAUCUACAUGAGCCGCUGCCCCCCACGUGCGUAUCUUCACCUGCACAGCAAGAAAAAGAAACAAGGCAGUAUAGGCAACGAAUAUGGCAAGAAAAUCAAGAAGAUCGCGAAUCAAGCAGAUAUGAAUGGAUCUUCUUUUCAUUUUUUUUUUGUUUCAUUGUUUGCUAUAAAAGCACACUAAAAAAUACUGUAAAAAAUAAGAAAAUACAAAAAAAAAUACUGAGAGGAAAGUGAUAUAAAUUUUUUUUGAAUACAAAAGGUGAUUUUCCAUUUUAUUUACUCAGUGUUCAUCAUUCUUAGUUUCGUUUUGUUAUUUUUUUUCUUUUUAUUUUUUAUUUAUUUUUCGUUUGAAAUAUAAAAAAAAGGAGAAGGGAAACUUACCUCUUUCGCCGGAGUCGUCGAAUCAGUGCCACCUCCGUCGCGUUCGGAGCCUUGGCACACGGUUGAAUGGCGGCGCAGAGAACGGUUGAAAGAAACCCUAGCAGAGCCACUGUA